rnacentral:rRNA from 1 species
CCACGGGNNGNCCCCUCCGGGGCCCGCGGAUCCUGCGNGCCGCGUGUGUUUNGAAGGCCUUCCGGUUGUNNAGCACUUUUGUCCGGAAAGAAAUGGCCCUGGCUAAUACCCGGGGUCGAUGACGGUACCGGAAGAAUAAGCACCGGCUAACUACGUGCCAGCAGCCGCGGUAAUACGUAGGGUGCGAGCGUUAAUCGGAAUUACUGGGCGUAAAGCGUGCGCAGGCGGUUUUGUAAGACAGGCGUGAAAUCCCCGGGCUCAACCUGGGAAUUGCGCUUGUGACUGCAAGGCUAGAGUGCGUCAGAGGGGGGUAGAAUUCCACGUGUAGCAGUGAAAUGCGUAGAGAUGUGGAGGAAUACCGAUGGCGAAGGCAGCCCCCUGGGACGUGACUGACGCUCAUGCACGAAAGCGUGGGGAGCAAACAGGAUUAGAUACCCUGGUAGUCCACGCCCUAAACGAUGUCAACUAGUUGUUGGGGAUUCAUUUCCUCAGUAACGUAGCUAACGCGUGAAGUUGACCGCCUGGGGAGUACGGUCGCAAGAUUAAAUGC